rnacentral:lncRNA from 1 species
AACCUCCCCAAAUAUCCCAAACCCCCCAAACCGCCAAAAUACCCCAAAAUCCCCCCAAAAACUGCCAAAAUCUCCCAAAAAACACCCACAAAAUACCCCAAAAACCACCCCAAACACCCCAAAGCUCCCGAAACAUCCCAAAACCCACCCCAAAUACCCCAAACACCCCAAAACCCUCCAAACCCCCAAAAUGCCCCAAAAAGCACCAAAAAGACCCCAAAAGCUGAGGGAAUUUGGGUUUUUUUCGGGGUGCCCAGGACCAGGGUGCGUUCCUGUGCGUGGUCGAUGACUCCAACGAGCACAUGAUGUCGGUGUGGGACUGCGCCCGCGGCACCAAGCAGGCCGAGGUCAAGCAGCAGCAUCGUCAGCAGCGGCAAAUCGCACGUGUUCUUCUGGAGCUGGAGCGGCGGGGCGCUGACCAAGAAACACGGCAUCUUCGGGAAGUACAAGAAGCCCAAGUUCAUCCAGUGCUUCAUCUUCGACGCCGCCGGGGCGCUGCUCACCGGGGACUCGGAGGGGAACAUCCUCACCUGGACCCGCACG